GUGCUCACUUGGCAGCACAUAUACUAAAAUUGAUGAUAGAGAGAAGGUUAGCAUGGUCCUAAUAAGAAUAAACACAAAAUUCAUGAAACAUUCCGAUUUUUU
rnacentral:snRNA from 1 species